rnacentral:lncRNA from 1 species
AAUUCUAGGAAAGUGAAAAGAACUUAUGGAAUACAAAAAAAUCAAAUGCUUCAUAAAAAAGUCUCUUGUCCCGGUGUCGUAUUCAAUUUAACAUUUGUCUUGUAUUUUAAAAUUUUAAACAAAUUAUUAUUAAUUGCUGCAAGAAAACAAGCUGGGAUGGGUUUGGCGGACUUUUACUUUGUACCUCCAGCUUCAAAUCUUAUUUCACUGUGCAAAGGUCUCAUUUUAACACAUGAUUAAAUCUGAAAGAUCAUCCCAAUAACCUUCUCCUUCCUCUACCCCUCCCACAGCCACUGCCAUCAUCCUUCUUCUCUGAUCCAAGAAAGGCAUGUAACCUACAUAAAAUGUCUGUCAAUAUUUUCCACCCAUCUUGGAGGCUACAGUUAUAGCAGUGACCCCUCCAAAAACAGGAGACACAAGUUGGCUGACGAAGC